UGGCUGCAACAAUGGGCUCAAGCAUAACAACAAUUGUGAGGAUGGCGCAGGACCAGAGCCACAGGCUUCUCUCCCUUUUGUGUUCACUUCCUGUCAAGUUUACCAUUUCAAAAGAACACCAAAGAAGCUUAAAAAUUUGUUUGUAAG